rnacentral:misc_RNA from 1 species
UUUCCGUAGGUGAACCUGCGGAAGGAUCAUUAUUGUAAAACCGAGAUACGAGGGCUUUCCCUAACCCGAAAAGCCGUGCACGCCAAAGUUCCCUAACACACCUCCAUCUCUCCCCUAUGUUUCCCACCGCGGGUUGCCCCCUUUGACUUGUUCCGUGAGGCCCUUGUGUUUUCAGUCAGCCUUUGUAAGCACUUUAUCGUGUCUUUUUUGAUUUUCCGAUCUCUCAACCCUUACAACGUUCAACAACGGAUCACUUGGGUCUCGCAUCCGUGCAGAACC